rnacentral:rRNA from 1 species
UUAAGUUAUUAAGGGCGCACGGUGGAUGCCUUGGCACUAGAAGCCGAUGAAGGACGUUACUAACGACGAUAUGCUUUGGGGAGCUGUAAGUAAGCUUUGAUCCAGAGAUUUCCGAAUGGGGAAACCCAACAUGAGUUAUGUCAUGUUAUCGAUAUGUGAAUACAUAGCAUAUCAGAAGGCACACCCGGAGAACUGAAACAUCUUAGUACCCGGAGGAAGAGAAAGAAAAUUCGAUUCCCUUAGUAGCGGCGAGCGAAACGGGAAGAGCCCAAACCAACAAGCUUGCUUGUUGGGGUUGUAGGACACUCUAUACGGAGUUACAAAGGACGACAUUAGACGAAUCAUCUGGAAAGAUGAAUCAAAGAAGGUAAUAAUCCUGUAGUCGAAAAUGUUGUCUCUCUUGAGUGGAUCCUGAGUACGACGGAGCACGUGAAAUUCCGUCGGAAUCUGGGAGGACCAUCUCCUAAGGCUAAAUACUCUCUAGUGACCGAUAGUGAACCAGUACCGUGAGGGAAAGGUGAAAAGCACCCCGGAAGGGGAGUGAAAUAGAACCUGAAACCGUGUGCUUACAAGUAGUCAGAGCCCGUUAAUGGGUGAUGGCGUGCCUUUUGUAGAAUGAACCGGCGAGUUACGAUUUGAUGCAAGGUUAAGCAGUAAAUGUGGAGCCGUAGCGAAAGCGAGUCUGAAUAGGGCGUUUAGUAUUUGGUCGUAGACCCGAAACCAGGUGAUCUACCCUUGGUCAGGUUGAAGUUCAGGUAACACUGAAUGGAGGACCGAACCGACUUACGUUGAAAAGUGAGCGGAUGAACUGAGGGUAGCGGAGAAAUUCCAAUCGAACCUGGAGAUAGCUGGUUCUCUCCGAAAUAGCUUUAGGGCUAGCCUCAAGUGAUGAUUAUUGGAGGUAGAGCACUGUUUGGACGAGGGGCCCCUCUCGGGUUACCGAAUUCAGACAAACUCCGAAUGCCAAUUAAUUUAACUUGGGAGUCAGAACAUGGGUGAUAAGGUCCGUGUUCGAAAGGGAAACAGCCCAGACCACCAGCUAAGGUCCCAAAAUAUAUGUUAAGUGGAAAAGGAUGUGGCGUUGCCCAGACAACUAGGAUGUUGGCUUAGAAGCAGCCAUCAUUUAAAGAGUGCGUAAUAGCUCACUAGUCGAGUGACACUGCGCCGAAAAUGUACCGGGGCUAAACAUAUUACCGAAGCUGUGGAUUGUCCUUUGGACAAUGGUAGGAGAGCGUUCUAAGGGCGUUGAAGCAUGAUCGUAAGGACAUGUGGAGCGCUUAGAAGUGAGAAUGCCGGUGUGAGUAGCGAAAGACGGGUGAGAAUCCCGUCUACCGAUUGACUAAGGUUUCCAGAGGAAGGCUCGUCCGCUCUGGGUUAGUCGGGUCCUAAGCUGAGGCCGACAGGCGUAGGCGAUGGAUAACAGGUUGAUAUUCCUGUACCACCUAUAAUCGUUUUAAUCGAUGGGGGGACGCAGUAGGAUAGGCGAAGCGUGCGAUUGGAUUGCACGUCUAAGCAGUAAGGCUGAGUAUUAGGCAAAUCCGGUACUCAUUAAGGCUGAGCUGUGAUGGGGAGAAGACAUUGUGUCUUCGAGUCGUUGAUUUCACACUGCCGAGAAAAGCCUCUAGAUAGAAAAUAGGUGCCCGUACCGCAAACCGACACAGGUAGUCAAGAUGAGAAUUCUAAGGUGAGCGAGCGAACUCUCGUUAAGGAACUCGGCAAAAUGACCCCGUAACUUCGGGAGAAGGGGUGCUCUUUAGGGUUAACGCCCAGAAGAGCCGCAGUGAAUAGGCCCAAGCGACUGUUUAUCAAAAACACAGGUCUCUGCUAAACCGUAAGGUGAUGUAUAGGGGCUGACGCCUGCCCGGUGCUGGAAGGUUAAGAGGAGUGGUUAGCUUCUGCGAAGCUACGAAUCGAAGCCCCAGUAAACGGCGGCCGUAACUAUAACGGUCCUAAGGUAGCGAAAUUCCUUGUCGGGUAAGUUCCGACCCGCACGAAAGGCGUAACGAUUUGGGCACUGUCUCAACGAGAGACUCGGUGAAAUCAUAGUACCUGUGAAGAUGCAGGUUACCCGCGACAGGACGGAAAGACCCCGUGGAGCUUUACUGUAGCCUGAUAUUGAAAUUCGGCACAGCUUGUACAGGAUAGGUAGGAGCCUUUGAAACGUGAGCGCUAGCUUACGUGGAGGCGCUGGUGGGAUACUACCCUAGCUGUGUUGGCUUUCUAACCCGCACCACUUAUCGUGGUGGGAGACAGUGUCAGGCGGGCAGUUUGACUGGGGCGGUCGCCUCCUAAAAGGUAACGGAGGCGCUCAAAGGUUCCCUCAGAAUGGUUGGAAAUCAUUCAUAGAGUGUAAAGGCAUAAGGGAGCUUGACUGCGAGACCUACAAGUCGAGCAGGGUCGAAAGACGGACUUAGUGAUCCGGUGGUUCCGCAUGGAAGGGCCAUCGCUCAACGGAUAAAAGCUACCCCGGGGAUAACAGGCUUAUCUCCCCCAAGAGUUCACAUCGACGGGGAGGUUUGGCACCUCGAUGUCGGCUCAUCGCAUCCUGGGGCUGUAGUCGGUCCCAAGGGUUGGGCUGUUCGCCCAUUAAAGCGGUACGCGAGCUGGGUUCAGAACGUCGUGAGACAGUUCGGUCCCUAUCCGUCGUGGGCGUAGGAAAUUUGAGAGGAGCUGUCCUUAGUACGAGAGGACCGGGAUGGACAUACCUCUGGUGUACCAGUUGUCGUGCCAACGGCAUAGCUGGGUAGCUAUGUGUGGACGGGAUAAGUGCUGAAAGCAUCUAAGCAUGAAGCCCCCCUCAAGAUGAGAUUUCCCAACUUCGGUUAUAAGAUCCCUCAAAGAUGAUGAGGUUAAUAGGUUCGAGGUGGAAGCAUGGUGACAUGUGGAGCUGACGAAUACUAAUCGAUCGAAGACUUAAUCAA